rnacentral:rRNA from 1 species
AACGAACGCUGGCGGCAUGCCUAACACAUGCAAGUCGAACGACACCUCCGGGUUCAGUGUCGCACGGGUUCGUAACCCGUGGGAACCUGCACUUAGACGCGGCCUAACGCCGCGAAAAGGGCGGUAAUACCGGAAAAUGUCCUCGCACCAAACUUUGAUUGCCUUUGGAUGGGCCCGCGUUGGAUUAGCUUGUUAGUAGGGUAAAAGCCUACCAAGGCGACGUUCCAUAGCUGGUCUGAGAGGAUGAUCAGCCACACUGGGACUGAGACACGGCCCAGACUCCUACGGGAGGCAGCAGUGGGGAAUAUUGGAAAAUGGGCGAAAGCCUGAUCCAGCAAUGCCGCGUGAGUGAUGAAGGCCUUAGGGUUGUAAAGCUCUUUUACCCGGGAUGAUAAUGACAGUACCGGGAGAAUAAGCUCCGGCUAACUCCGUG